rnacentral:rRNA from 1 species
CAGUAGCCACGGGAAUACAGAGGGUGCGAGCGUUAAUCGGAUUUACUGGGCGUAAAGCGUGCGUAGGCGGCUUCUUAAGUCGGAUGUGAAAUCCCUGAGCUUAACUUAGGAAUUGCAUUCGAUACUGGGAAGCUAGAGUAUGGGAGAGGAUGGUAGAAUUCCAGGUGUAGCGGUGAAAUGCGUAGAGAUCUGGAGGAAUACCGAUGGCGAAGGCAGCCAUCUGGCCUAAUACUGACGCUGAGGUACGAAAGCAUGGGGAGCAAACAGGAUUAGAUACCCGCGUAGUCCCUGUCUCUUAUAC